rnacentral:rRNA from 1 species
GACGAACGCUGGCGGCGUGCUUAACACAUGCAAGUCGAACGGAAAGGCCCUGCUUUUGUGGGGUGCUCGAGUGGCGAACGGGUGAGUAACACGUGAGUAACCUGCCCUUGACUUUGGGAUAACUUCAGGAAACUGGGGCUAAUACCGGAUAGGAGCUCCUGCUGCAUGGUGGGGGUUGGAAAGUUUCGGCGGCUGGGGAUGGACUCGCGGCUUAUCAGCUUGUUGGUGGGGUAGUGGCUUACCAAGGCUUUGACGGGUAGCCGGCCUGAGAGGGUGACCGGCCACAUUGGGACUGAGAUACGGCCCAGACUCCUACGGGAGGCAGCAGUGGGGAAUAUUGCACAAUGGGCGGAAGCCUGAUGCAGCAACGCCGCGUGCGGGAUGACGGCCUUCGGGUUGUAAACCGCUUUCGCCUGUGACGAAGCGUGAGUGACGGUAAUGGGUAAAGAAGCACCGGCUAACUACGUGCCAGCAGCCGCGGUGAUACGUAGGGUGCGAGCGUUGUCCGGAUUUAUUGGGCGUAAAGGGCUCGUAGGUGGUUGAUCGCGUCGGAAGUGUAAUCUUGGGGCUUAACCCUGAGCGUGCUUUCGAUACGGGUUGACUUGAGGAAGGUAGGGGAGAAUGGAAUUCCUGGUGGAGCGGUGGAAUGCGCAGAUAUCAGGAGGAACACCAGUGGCGAAGGCGGUUCUCUGGGCCUUUCCUGACGCUGAGGAGCGAAAGCGUGGGGAGCGAACAGGCUUAGAUACCCUGGUAGUCCACGCUGUAAACGGUGGGUACUAGGUGUGGGGUCCAUUCCACGGGUUCCGUGCCGUAGCUAACGCUUUAAGUACCCCGCCUGGGGAGUACGGCCGCAAGGCUAAAACUCAAAGGAAUUGACGGGGCCCCGCACAAGCGGCGGAGCAUGCGGAUUAAUUCGAUGCAACGCGUAGAACCUUACCUGGGUUUGACAUGGAUCGGGAGUGCUCAGAGAUGGGUGUGCCUCUUUUGGGGUCGGUUCACAGGUGGUGCAUGGCUGUCGUCAGCUCGUGUCGUGAGAUGUUGGGUUAAGUCCCGCAACGAGCGCAACCCUUGUUCACUGUUGCCAGCACGUUAUGGUGGGGACUCAGUGGAGACCGCCGGGGUCAACUCGGAGGAAGGUGGGGAUGACGUCAAGUCAUCAUGCCCCUUAUGUCCAGGGCUUCACGCAUGCUACAAUGGCUGGUACAGAGAGUGGCGAGCCUGUGAGGGUGAGCGAAUCUCGGAAAGCCGGUCUCAGUUCGGAUUGGGGUCUGCAACUCGACCUCAUGAAGUCGGAGUCGCUAGUAAUCGCAGAUCAGCAACGCUGCGGUGAAUACGUUCCCGGGGCU